GCAAAAGGUUUAAAAAAUUGAUUUAUGAUAUUCAAGUAUCAUUAGCGUAAUAAAUCGUUUUAUCAAAGAGUAAAGAUUGAAAUAUCUGUAGCAAAAAGGGUACUACUUUGGUAGACGGUUGCACGGAUUUUGGCAAGCUUAUUUUGGCGAACGAUACGACUUAUGGUAAACCGACGACUUAUGCUAGACAAGUUAUUUAUGACGAAAGAAGACAACAGAAGAUACCUACUUGGGGCUUUCUGAAAUAAAUCUAAGCACAUGAUGUAAUAAACUUUUUUAAGAACUCAAAGGCUGCCGAAAAAGGAGAGUUUGACGUGCUUGCUGUAGAUGAUGACCUAUGGUGGAUACAUUGGUACCUUUAAUAUUCAGAAAGCAUUGUGAUCAAAUUCGACUUGAAUGUUAAAAGAUGUGAAACAAAUAAA